rnacentral:lncRNA from 1 species
UUUUCUUGGGGGAGAGAGGGAGGAAAGCCUAUCCGAAUCGUGAUUUCCUACAUCCAAAUCUUAGAGAUGCACCAUUCAGGACUCGUACUUAGAUCAUUUGGUUGCUAAGCAGAGAGGUGUGACUAUUGGGGCAAGCCUCAUAGUGUUAGAUGAAACUUUGGGUUUAGAAUUUAAUUAGGGAUUUUGCAAGAAAUGCCACUGUUCUUUUUCACAAAAAUAGGUCAUCUUUUUUUAUGCGUAGAAACAAUCCAUUUUAUGCUAAAAUUGGGCUAUUGUUUGCCUUCCCUUCCUUCGUGACUAUUUUGAGAAUAUUUUUGCUUGUGCACUAG